CUACUACUAAUAAUAAAGAUAUUUCAUUAAUAACACGUAAACAACCGUCGUUAUGGUAACAGGAAGUCCACCACACUAAUUGGGAAAAUGGCGGCACACAGUAAUUUGGUCAAGCGCAAAACGUAAACUUUGCUCAUAUUAAUGUGACAAAAAAAACAUGUUUGCUCUAAUUACAGGUCAUAAACCCCGGACAUAAAUACAUUUUCAUAACAAAAAUAACUUCACAUUACAGUCGACAAGAAAAGGGAACGCGCGCGACUCCCUCGCCGUGCUGAGGGGAAACCGGAAAUGACGUAACUGGAACCUUUCUUUCAACAUGAGGCAGCAAAUUUAAACAUUGUAAAACGUUUCUAAACUAAUUAAACUAUCGUCUUUCUGACAGGGGUGUGUAUUUUGAGCAGACCUGUUCGAGUAAACAGAUUUAUUCUUUAUUUUUAUUAUUUAAAGUGAGGGCGGGGAGAAAAUACCUCACACAGAGCAGGAGCUCCGUAAAAGGUCCAUAGCGCGGGCAUUUUAUUCCCCUUCAAGGGUUUGAGAUGAUCAGUCGUCUCCAACCAUGGCCCAGUCGGACCUUGAGACACGGCGGUUGCCGUGGGAGCUGUCCGCGGUGCUGAGAUUCGUCACGCUUAGGAUGCGGCAGUUCCCUGAACAGAGUCCCGAUAUUAAAUGUUCCUGUAUGUGUAGGGGAAUACGCUUUCCCUUCACUUGGGUGAGGUUGCACACUCGGCCCUGUCACGUCUCUGGAGGACGUACGCUCUCACACCCGCAGGUCCUUCGUGAUGUCGUCGGUCGGUGGGCAGGUCCGAAGCCCUCGUGUGGAGAUUCUCCGGAGCUGAGUGUUGUGUUUGUGUGGAUCUUGACUCUGAGCCUAAAGAUAGUAAUGGUGGGCAGAGUUAGCGUGCAAUUAACGCUGGCAUGAAGAUAAAUAAAUAAAUAAAUAAAUAAAAAAGAGCAGAGGAGUAUUCAAUGCCUCACCGCCGUCUUACACAACACUGCUGGCAUGGAGGGAA